ACCUGGGUAGCUCAGUCGGUUGAGCAUCUGACUUUGGCUCAGGUCAUGAUCUUGCAAUUCGUGGGUUCAAGUCCUGCCUCGGGCU
rnacentral:tRNA from 1 species